UACAGAGGGUGCAAGCGUUAAUCGGAAUUACUGGGCGUAAAGCGCGUGUAGGCUGCUCUGCAAGUCGGAUGUGAAAGCCCUGGGCUCAACCUAGGAAGUGCACUCGAAACUGCAGAGCUGGAGUCCUGGAGAGGAAGGCGGAAUUCUCGGUGUAGAGGUGAAAUUCGUAGAUAUCGAGAGGAACACCGGUGGCGAAGGCGGCCUUCUGGACAGUGACUGACGCUGAGACGCGAAAGCGUGGGGAGCAAACAGG
rnacentral:rRNA from 1 species